AUUGAACGCUGGCGGAAUGCUUUACACAUGCAAGUCGAACGGCAGCACGGACUUCGGUCUGGUGGCGAGUGGCGAACGGGUGAGUAAUGUAUCGGAACGUGCCCAGUCGUGGGGGAUAACGUAGUGAAAAUUACGCUAAUACCGCAUACGAUCUAUGGAUGAAAGCGGGGGAUCGCAAGACCUCGCGCGAUUGGAGCGGCCGAUAUCAGAUUAGGUAGUUGGUGGGGUAAAGGCCCACCAAGCCAACGAUCUGUAGCUGGUCUGAGAGGACGACCAGCCACCAUGGAACUGAGACACGGUCCAGACUCCUACGGGAGGCAGCAGUGGGGAAUUUUGGACAAUGGGCGAAAGCCUGAUCCAGCCAUUCCGCGUGCAGGAUGAAGGCCCUCGGGUUGUAAACUGCUUUUGUACAGAACGAAAAGGUUUCUACUAAUACUAGGAGCUCAUGGCGGUACUGUAAGAAUAAGCACCGGCUAACUACGUGCCAGCAGCCGCGGUAA
rnacentral:rRNA from 1 species